rnacentral:misc_RNA from 1 species
UCCGGUUUGUCACCGGCAGUCUCAUUAGAGUGCCCUUUCGUAGCAACUAAUGACAAGGGUUGCGCUCGUUGCGGGACUUAACCCAACAUCUCACGACACGAGCUGACGACAGCCAUGCAGCACCUGUGUGCCGGCUCUCUUGCGAGCACGCCCUGAUCUCUCAAGGCUUCCGGCCAUGUCAAGGGUAGGUAAGGUUUUUCGCGUUGCAUCGAAUUAAUCCACAUCAUCCACCGCUUGUGCGGGUCCCCGUCAAUUCCUUUGAGUUUUAAUCUUGCGACCGUACUCCCCAGGCGGGAUGCUUAAUGCGUUAGCUACAGCAUUGCACGGGUCGAUACGCACAGCGCCUAGUAUCCAUCGUUUACGGCUAGGACUA